rnacentral:rRNA from 1 species
UCCUACGGGAGGCAGCAGUAGGGAAUCUUCCACAAUGGACGCAAGUCUGAUGGAGCAACGCCGCGUGAGUGAAGAAGGUUUUCGGAUCGUAAAGCUCUGUUGUUGGUGAAGAAGGAUAGAGGCAGUAACUGGUCUUUAUUUGACGGUAAUCAACCAGAAAGUCACGGCUAACUACGUGCCAGCAGCCGCGGUAAUACGUAGGUGGCAAGCGUUGUCCGGAUUUAUUGGGCGUAAAGCGAGCGCAGGCGGAAUGAUAAGUCUGAUGUGAAAGCCCACGGCUCAACCGUGGAACUGCAUCGGAAACUGUCAUUCUUGAGUGCAGAAGAGGAGAGUGGAACUCCAUGUGUAGCGGUGGAAUGCAUAGAUAUAUGGAAGAACACCAGUGGCGAAGGCGGCUCUCUGGUCUGCAACUGACGCUGAGGCUCGAAAGCAUGGGUAGCGAACAGGAUUAGAUACCCUGGUAGUCCAUGCCGUAAACGAUGAGCGCUAGGUGCUGGGGACUUUCCGGUCCUCAGUGCCGCAGCAAACGCAUUAAGCGCUCCGCCUGGGGAGUACGACCGCAAGGUUGAAACUCAAAGGAAUUGACGGGGGCCCGCACAAGCGGUGGAGCAUGUGGUAUAAUUCGAAGCAACGCGAAGAACCUUACCAGGUCUUGACAUCCUGCGCUACACCUAGAGAUAGGUGGUUCCCUUCGGGGACGCAGAGACAGGUGGUGCAUGGCUGUCGUCAGCUCGUGUCGUGAGAUGUUGGGUUAAGUCCCGCAACGAGCGCAACCCUUGUCUUUAGUUGCCAUCAUUAAGUUGGGCACUCUUGAGAGACUGCCGGUGACAAACCGGAGGAAGGUGGGGAUGACGUCAAGUCAUCAUGCCCCUUAUGACCUGGGCUACACACGUGCUACAAUGGGCAGUACAACGAGAAGCGAACCCGCGAGGGCAAGCGGAUCUCUUAAAGCUGUUCUCAGUUCGGACUGCAGGCUGCAACUCGCCUGCACGAAGCCGGAAUCGCUAGUAAUCGCGGAUCAGCACGCCGCGGUGAAUACGUUCCCGGGCCUUGUACACACCGC